CUACUCAGGCCAUCUUUUAUUAAAAAGGAAUUUCACAUAUGAAACCUUAGUUUUUAGGCUAAAUAAAGAAAAAUCUCCAGAUUUAAAAAGAUCCUGAAGAUACCAUGGUCUAGGUAUAGUAACACAUCCUCCUCAUCCCAGUGCUGGAGUGGCUCAGGGUGGAGGGCAAGGUCAAGGUCAUUCUCUGCCCCUUGACAAUGGGACUGGGGUGGGGGUAAGGGCUGAGGAGGGGAGGGAGGGGAGGUAGCACAGGGCACAACCUCUUGAAGGAGUGUUUCACAUCUACUACUAGACUGGAUAGUUCCUGUUUAUCCUUUUUCUCUAUGCUCCGGCUGACCUGAUGGACAAAUCAGGGAGCUCCCUGGUCUUAUGGAAGUCAAGAGGUGCCAUCACCAGUUGCUGAGGACAUGAAGAGAGUGGCAUGUGUGUUUCUAGUAGCUUGUUCACAGGUUAAAGAAAGUGUCGUAGAAGAUGUGAGCCAUUCUGCACCUCUUCAGAUCUCGCAGAGUUAUCCUGCCUAUGGAAACACAAAUGUACCUUGUAAAUUCUACUGGCAGCUUUUUUGACAAAAGAGAAAACUCACUGAUGUUGAAAAGUUUAUGUAUAUGUCCAUUUUAUUAUAAAUCACAUUUUUUUAAAAGGAUGAACAGUGUACACCGCUGUCCCAUUGGCCUUACCAUCACUGGCUGGCUUCACCAAGUCAAGCAUCUGGCACAACAGAUCAUGGAAUGGCAAGGGCUCAAUGCCCAUGGCUUCCAUCCGUUCACACUGCUCUUCAUAGAAGUACUCUAGUUCAUACAUGGAAAGUAUACCAUCUCCAUCCACAUCCAUGCAGCGGAACCAAUACUCAAUGCUAAGAGGUAAAAGAUGCUUGUUAGCAUGGACCCAGUAGAGGUUCUUUUAAAGUAAAUCUACAUGUCUUACAGAUUAUGCUUAGUUUAUAAAGGUUUAUUAGAAAAAACAAUGGAAGGCUGGAGAGAUGGCUCAGCCAUUAAAAGAUAGUUCCACAACCAAAAAUAUAAUAAUAAAAAAAAAAACCAAUGGGAGGUCCCUUCUGCCAUCUGUUUUU